rnacentral:rRNA from 1 species
GAGGAAUAUUGGUCAAUGGACGAGAGUCUGAACCAGCCAAGUAGCGUGAAGGAUGACUGCCCUAUGGGUUGUAAACUUCUUUUAUACGGGAAUAAAGUUAGCCACGUGUGGCUUUUUGUAUGUACCGUAUGAAUAAGGAUCGGCUAACUCCGUGCCAGCAGCCGCGGUAAUACGGAGGAUCCGAGCGUUAUCCGGAUUUAUUGGGUUUAAAGGGAGCGUAGGCGGGUUGUUAAGUCAGUUGUGAAAGUUUGCGGCUCAACCGUAAAAUUGCAGUUGAUACUGGCGACCUUGAGUGCAACAGAGGUAGGCGGAAUUCGUGGUGUAGCGGUGAAAUGCUUAGAUAUCACGAAGAACUCCGAUUGCGAAGGCAGCUUACUGGAUUGUAACUGACGCUGAUGCUCGAAAGUGUGGGUAUCAAACAGGAUUAGAUACCCUGGUAGUCCACACAGUAAACGAUGAAUACUCGCUGUUGGCGAUAUACGGUCAGCGGCCAAGCGAAAGCAUUAAGUAUUCCACCUGGGGAGUACGCCGGCAACGGUGAAACUCAAAGGAAUUGACGGGGGCCCGCACAAGCGGAGGAACAUGUGGUUUAAUUCGAUGAUACGCGAGGAACCUUACCCGGGCUUAAAUUGCAACUGACUGAACCGGAAACGGUUCUUUCUUCGGACAGUUGUGAAGGUGCUGCAUGGUUGUCGUCAGCUCGUGCCGUGAGGUGUCGGCUUAAGUGCCAUAACGAGCGCAACCCUUAUCGAUAGUUACUAGCAGGUCAUGCUGAGGACUCUAUUGAGACUGCCGUCGUAAGAUGUGAGGAAGGUGGGGAUGACGUCAAAUCAGCACGGCCCUUACGUCCGGGGCUACACACGUGUUACAAUGGGGGGUACAGAAGGCAGCUACACGGCGACGUGGUGCUAAUCCCGAAAGCCUCUCUCAGUUCGGAUUGGAGUCUGCAACCCGACUCCAUGAAGCGGGAUUCGCUAGUAAUCGCGCAUCAGCCACGGCGCGGUGAAUACGUUCCCG